GCAAAGAUAGCAGUAUCUUGUUUGAAUUCCAAUCCACAAUAUCGGCCAACUAUGCAACAAGUUUCUAUGUUGCUAUCCAAGGAAAGGGAUUUUCCAAAUUUUUCUCUUGAUAUCACCUUAAGCCAGUUGUUUGGUCUUGAAUUUCCAAAUCCAUAAAUUUUUACACUAUUCAAGUUUGGAACAAUGUAUGUGGUUUUAACAUGAGGAUGCAUAUGGAAGUAGGCAAUCUUGGAACCCGUACAUAGAUCGAUCAUAAACAAAUGGUAUCAAACUGCCAGUCAAACAAGAUUGACAAUGGACAUCGCUAAGAUGGAUGCAGGAGAUGCAUCAUUCACUGCACUGCUGUUUUCAAGUUUCUCAGUUGCUUCUAUACCCAAGGAAAGAGAUCACAAUAAGGCAGACAGUUGAAUUGCUUCGUCUGAAAUUUCCUACUAUACAC